CAAACAAGCCUAGACUGUGAAGACUACAAUACCUAACUCUUCAAUGCCCAGACACCAAUGAACAUCUACAAGCAUCAACACCAUCCAAGGAAACAUGACUUCACUAAAUGAACUGGGAAAAACAUGAGAUUUUACUGGACAAGAGUUUAUGCUCCUUUAACCUGCUCAUAUGUAAGACAGCAAGAAGGACAUGUGGAUUCCAAGGAUCAGUGAGAGAUAAUUCUAAUUAACAUAGAUUUCAAGCACAUUUUGUAGGCUGAAAUGAACUCUGGCAUUGUGGGGAGCUUUGAGGAGCACUAAUAAGACUAAACUAAAUCAUUAUCCAUGUAAAUGAGGUAAUUUAUCUGAAAACACUGUACAAACAUGAGCACAUGCCCAAUUAUAAGGGACUGAACCAAGACAAAGUGAGGUUCAAAUCUCGACUUUAACUUGUUGAACUGCUUUGAAUAACAGACUCUUCAUCUAUAAAGUGAAGAAAAUAAUACUUCCUUAAAGAAUGUGCCAACCUGUGGUGAUAAACUAACCACAGUGUUAGAGAUUAAGACACAAGGACCAUAAACCUUCUUCUUACAUAA
rnacentral:lncRNA from 10 species